rnacentral:rRNA from 1 species
AGCAGUCGCCGCGGUAAUACGAAGGGUGCAAGCGUUAAUCGGAAUUACUGGGCGUAAAGCGUGCGCAGGCGGUUCUAUAAGACAGAUGUGAAAUCCCCGGGCUCAACCUGGGAACUGCAUUUGUGACUGUAGAGCUGGAGUGCGGCAGAGGGGGAUGGAAUUCCGCGUGUAGCAGUGAAAUGCGUAGAUAUGCGGAGGAACACCGAUGGCGAAGGCAAUCCCCUGGGCCUGCACUGACGCUCAUGCACGAAAGCGUGGGGAGCAAACAGGAUUAGAUACCCCCGUAGUCCCUGUCUCUUAUAC